CAGCGCGUCGGUCUCAAUGCUCUGUUACGCUUGGUGGGUUUGGGCGCACGUUUGAAUAGAAGAGAGCUCACUUGUUGAGAUGUUCAGCUCAAAGGAGCUUACUGGUGGGAGAAUGGGACAAGAUCCAUCUUCCUGCAGAGCCAGCAUUGAAAUGAUGCUUCAGCAUCUCAUAACCUUUCCUGAGGAACUCGACUGCCUACCAGGAUGAAGACAGGUCAUCCCAAUGACGGUAUAUUCCUCUAUCUUAGGAUGCAUGCUGAUCUGCCCAGGGUCGAGCUUCUAGGAAGAGUUGAAAGUGGUUCUAUUACCAGUAACCUGCUUGCUGGUUCCAAGGUGAGUGAUUUCAAUAUAUGCCCGGUGCGUGCAGCAUAUUGAGUAGGAAAAAAUGCCUUUUUAGGUCUACAUAUGAUGACUUACAUGGAAUCUCGUUCGGCUGAUGACUUGGCUGUUGAGAAUCGGAAAUCUGAUUUUCUAUGAAUGAUGGCUUAAGUGGGAACAACUUAGUUCAGGAUAUAAUCAUUAGUAACUUGGUUUUGUUUGUUUCAGGUCCAGCACCUUGUCUGGCGUCCUUAGAAUGAUUUGAGGGAAACCAAACCAUGUUUUUGCAGAGCUCUACACUGAAAUUAGAGGUCUGAAAAAAGAACAAAACACAUGUAUAAAUGCUAAAUAAACACUGGCCUUGGAAUAAGCAAUAUUGAAGCAAUUGGAGCUCAUCCAACACCAGACUCCCUAUACCACAAGCCAUAACUACAGCUUGAAUUGGACGAGACUGAUUUCAGUAAUAUUUUUCCUGAGUGACCACUGACCAUGAACUGCUGCAUACUUGAGUGCCUUUGUGCCCCUACUUCACCAUUUGAGGCAUAGGGCCUAAUUGCGAUACAUUUCAACAUAAAUUUCUACCCCAGAGUGAAUAUGGGUCUUAUGUAACAUGCAAAAAUAAAGUUCUCCUUUACUACAUUUAUAAAUCUCAUGAUUUUCCAGUUGAUAACUUGGAGAACAUCAGAAAGGGAAUUUACAAGUCCUUUGUUGUACAACCUAGCUGUCUUGAGUAUACUAUCAUUUUAAUAUUCACAAUAAAGUUGCUUUUUUAAACCUUUA